rnacentral:hammerhead_ribozyme from 1 species
CUAGCUGACGAGUCCCAAAUAGGACGAAACGCAUGUCCCGUAC